UUUACAGAUCUGACAUUGUUGGGUUGAUGUUUAGACGAGUUGUAUAUAUAUACAACUCGUCUAAACAUCAACCCAACAAUGUCAGAUCUGUUUAGACGAGUUGUAUAUAUAUACAACUCGUCUAAACAUCAACCCAACAAUGUCGAUCU
rnacentral:sRNA from 1 species